rnacentral:rRNA from 1 species
GAUGAACGCUGGCGGCGUGCCUAAUACAUGCAAGUCGAGCGAACAGACGAGGAGCUUGCUCCUCUGACGUUAGCGGCGGACGGGUGAGUAACACGUGGAUAACCUACCUAUAAGACUGGGAUAACUUCGGGAAACCGGAGCUAAUACCGGAUAAUAUAUUGAACCGCAUGGUUCAAUAGUGAAAGACGGUUUUGCUGUCACCUAUAGAUGGAUCCGCGCCGCAUUAGCUAGUUGGUAAGGUAACGGCUUACCAAGGCAACGAUGCGUAGCCGACCUGAGAGGGUGAUCGGCCACACUGGAACUGAGACACGGUCCAGACUCCUACGGGAGGCAGCAGUAGGGAAUCUUCCGCAAUGGGCGAAAGCCUGACGGAGCAACGCCGCGUGAGUGAUGAGGGUCUUCGGAUCGUAAAACUCUGUUAUUAGGGAAGAACAAAUGUGUAAGUAACUAUGCACGUCUUGACGGUACCUAAUCAGAAAGCCACGGCUAACUACGUG